UGAGCGCUACAGAGCUUCGGCGUGCAACCUCAUCCUCACGAUAUUUUUCAUAGAGCGUCCGCAGCCUCCGGCCUCUUCAGCUUCUCCAUCAAAUCCCUGGCCGGUUGAUUUUCCUUGCUCAUAUUCGUCUUCUUCCCUCUAGCCUUUUCCCUUCCAUGUCUUUUUCAAUCCCAGUCAAUAUUAUAUGGCUCCUCCGCUUCUUAUUCUUCCUAUUCCCAAUCUCCCUUCACCUGUCGCUUCGGCCUGCUUCCAUGGCUGGAACUACAAGGUGUCAAAUCCAACGGGGAUUUAAUUAGCGGCAGGGAUCCACGGUGGUGUUGGACUGGUGGAAAAGGUAGCCGAUUCACUGGGCAUCACCGCUUCUGACUGCCUCGAUUGGUUAUGUCAUCGUCAGUGUCAUCGACAUUGCGGACCAAUCGGCACCCUCAAUGGCGCCAGGUAGUGUGCAAGCGCGGGUACAGAUCGAUGGGUGCCCUCUACCGGCACAACUGUAUAGCAUGCAUGAUCCAUGGCGCCGGGCAACAUGCAAGCUCUGCUGCAGAUCGAUGGUUCAUAGUAGAAGCGACAAGAAAGGCAACCUGAAGGUCUCCGCGCCUUCAUGUUAGGUCCGCGAUUCCUCGAGUGCUUCUUCAUGGAGUCUGUAGGCGAAGAACUGGAGGAAGGAGGAUGAAGGAUGGACGGUGACUGACAUUUAUUAGGCAGGAUUAGAUAUGCUAAAUUGUUUGAUUACCAUGGUCACCAAGGCACUUAGAUGUAUCUAUGCUUGGCCACAGAAGUCACAUUCAGUUUUCAUCUGUUUCAAUAAGCCGCUAUGAAACUGUCCGCUGAUUGUCCCUACAGUUGCUUACUAAUGUGAUCCAUGCAUGAUGUUGCUACUUUGCAGCAGUACAUAUUAUUGGCUCCUUUUCCCUACCACACUAACAGGUGGUUAAGAAAUAAUUGUACAUAAAGGAUCAAGAAACAACGGUUACUCAUUUUCUGGUAUGUUCACAUAUACUAUUAUAUCAUAUUUAUUUAUGUAGGAUCACCAAAGGUUUGUAAUUUUCUUUAAUCUUCGGAUAUAAUCUUCACCUUUAUUAACCAUGUUUGUUCUUUCUUUCUGUCUAAUAAUGUAGGAAUUAAUAAUUACCAAUCAAAAGUAAAACUAUUAUUAUGCUAACACGAUUUUUGCUAAUAGUUUAAAAACACACACUAACUUCUGGUGUUUCUUUGAAUCUAGCACCUUUCUUUCUAAGAUAAAGCAUCCUUCUAUAUGUACUUAAGGUACAUUGUGAUUAAGACGAAUUAUGAAAAAAAUAUUUCUUAAAAGAUUAUAGUGUUUGUGUGUGUUCUAUCUAAACUUACAGCCAUUGAACUUUGUUCCGUUGAAUAGUUGUGUGAUUUUGGCAAAACAAAUCAUACUUUUCCGUACAUGCUCCCUACUGUAUUACUCUAAGCAUUUGACUGUUCUUCGUUUACCGGGGAGGUGUGAAAUCCAUCAUAGUUUAUGUUCCCGGUAGAGACAUUGUUUCAGUAUAUGCAUAUGUAUCUUUAUACCAUAAUUUCUGGAAAAUGGUUGUUUUAUUUAGCAAAUGUAAUAUAUUAUGAUGCCUAUGCGAGCUUCCUUUUUGUGCUGUCA